rnacentral:lncRNA from 1 species
ACGUGGGUGACUGGAGUUCCUGAUGAGGAAGUGAUAAAGAGCGAGCGAGCUAGCAGGGGCCGCCAUGCAGCAGCAAGCUGCACAUGCACAACUGGAGUUCAAAGAAAGACAGAUGACAUCAAGGCAAGACCUAGAAGCCAGCCGGGCAAGCUGAGGAACAGCGCACUGGUUAAAGGAGCAAGGCAAACCAAACAGACAAGACUGGAGAGUGAAUACACAGCUCUCAGCUCAAAGGGGAUCAGGAAAUUCUGAGUACAGAUGUUGACGGAAGUUGACCUUCGACCAAAACCUGUGCAUUCAGAAAGUACCGACCACAGCUUCCUCCCUGCAGAUGACUGUAGCCUGACACUGCUCCCUCACAGAGACCACCUAUGGAGAUAAGCUGAGCCAUCUCUUCAUCCGUGCUGUAUAUCAUAAACACAUUGAGCUUCAGGACUACUGCUUGUAUGUCUCCAUCUGAGUACAUGGCCACUGGGUCCCAGCCUUACAUAAUUUAUAUCUAUCUUAUUCUUCAUGGCCCCCAGUCUGAUCAAGACCAAAGCCAUGUGGGUUUCUGCGGGAAGUCCUUUCUAAAGGGAGUCAAGGGUGGUAGCAUACUGAUAAUAUUGACAGAUGAUCACCAUUCCUAAGCAUGAUCAAUCCACCUCCUGCCUUCUAGACUCAGUGAUGGGGGAGAAGGCCAGGGCUCCUCUGGCAUCAGAUAAUCAGGAAGGGGUUUGAGAUAGCUGCCUUGUGUUUCCAGGCCAGUCCAUCUCAAAAUAAAGACAUUUUCUGC